AUUGAACGCUGGCGGCAUGCCUUACACAUGCAAGUCGAACGGCAGCAUGGGUGCUUGCACCUGAUGGCGAGUGGCGAACGGGUGAGUAAUGCAUCGGAACGUACCCGGAAGUGGGGGAUAACGUAGCGAAAGUUACGCUAAUACCGCAUAUUCUGUGAGCAGGAAAGCGGGGGAGUCGCAAGACCUCGCGCUUCCGGAGCGGCCGAUGUCGGAUUAGCUAGUUGGCGGGGUAAAGGCCCACCAAGGCAACGAUCCGUAGCGGGUCUGAGAGGAUGAUCCGCCACACUGGGACUGAGACACGGCCCAGACUCCUACGGGAGGCAGCAGUGGGGAAUUUUGGACAAUGGGCGCAAGCCUGAUCCAGCCAUGCCGCGUGAGUGAAGAAGGCC
rnacentral:rRNA from 1 species